GCUGGCGGCGUGCUUAACACAUGCAAGUCGAACGGAAAGGCCCUGCUUUUGUGGGGUGCUCGAGUGGCGAACGGGUGAGUAACACGUGAGUAACCUGCCCUUGACUUUGGGAUAACUUCAGGAAACUGGGGCUAAUACCGGAUAGGAGCUCCUGCUGCAUGGUGGGGGUUGGAAAGUUUCGGCGGUUGGGGAUGGACUCGCGGCUUAUCAGCUUGUUGGUGGGGUAGUGGCUUACCAAGGCUUUGACGGGUAGCCGGCCUGAGAGGGUGACCGGCCACAUUGGGACUGAGAUACGGCCCAGACUCCUACGGGAGGCAGCAGUGGGGAAUAUUGCACAAUGGGCGGAAGCCUGAUGCAGCAACGCCGCGUGCGGGAUGACGGCCUUCGGGUUGUAAACCGCUUUCGCCUGUGAUGAAGCGUGAGUGACGGUAAUGGGUAAAGAAGCACCGGCUAACUACGUGCCAGCAGCCGCGGUGAUACGUAGGGUGCGAGCGUUGUCCGGAUUUAUUGGGCGUAAAGGGCUCGUAGGUGGUUGAUCGCGUCGGAAGUGUAAUCUUGGGGCUUAACCCUGAGCGUGCUUUCGAUACGGGUUGACUUGAGGAAGGUAGGGGAGAAUGGAAUUCCUGGUGGAGCGGUGGAAUGCGCAGAUAUCAGGAGGAACACCAGUGGCGAAGGCGGUUCUCUGGGCCUUUCCUGACGCUGAGGAGCGAAAGCGUGGGGAGCGAACAGGCUUAGAUACCCUGGUAGUCCACGCUGUAAACGGUGGGUACUAGGUGUGGGGUCCAUUCCACGGGUUCCGUGCCGUAGCUAACGCUUUAAGUACCCCGCCUGGGGAGUACGGCCGCAAGGCUAAAACUCAAAGGAAUUGACGGGGCCCCGCACAAGCGGCGGAGCAUGCGGAUUAAUUCGAUGCAACGCGUAGAACCUUACCUGGGUUUGACAUGGAUCGGGAGUGCUCAGAGAUGGGUGUGCCUCUUUUGGGGUCGGUUCACAGGUGGUGCAUGGCUGUCGUCAGCUCGUGUCGUGAGAUGUUGGGUUAAGUCCCGCAACGAGCGCAACCCUUGUUCACUGUUGCCAGCACGUUAUGGUGGGGACUCAGUGGAGACCGCCGGGGUCAACUCGGAGGAAGGUGGGGAUGACGUCAAGUCAUCAUGCCCCUUAUGUCCAGGGCUUCACGCAUGCUACAAUGGCUGGUACAGAGAGUGGCGAGCCUGUGAGGGUGAGCGAAUCUCGGAAAGCCGGUCUCAGUUCGGAUUGGGGUCUGCAACUCGACCUCAUGAAGUCGGAGUCGCUAGUAAUCGCAGAUCAGCAACGCUGCGGUGAAUACGUUCCCGGGGCUUGUACACACCGCCCGUCAAGUCAUGAAAGUUGGUAACACCCGAAGCCGGUGGCCUAACCGUUGUGGGGGAGCCGUCGAAGGUGGGACUGGUGAUUAGG
rnacentral:rRNA from 1 species